CUGCGAGACCGAUAGCGAACAAGUUACCGCUGAGGGAAAGAUGAAAAGAACUUUGAAAAGAGAGUUAAAGAGUACCUGAAACUGCUGAAAGGGAAGCGAAUCGUAUCCAGUGUCUAUAAUCUGCGGCAUAUUUCAUUGGCGGCGGUGCGCGUGCUUUUGCGUCGGAAGCGGCUUUUGUUGCUCUGUGCUUUUGCUGUGCGUGGUGUUGCUGGUGCCCUGUGUUGCGGUGGGACGUCAGAGUCAGUUUGUAUGCUGCGGGAAAUGGCUGCCGAGGAGGUAGGUCGAGAUUUCGGUCUUGGCUGUUAUAUCUUGGUGGUUUGUUGUCGUGGUUGAGACUGAGGUGCCUACAAUGUGCUUUUGAGUGUACCGGGUUCUCAUUUGGUGGACUGUUUGGAUAGCUUGCUAUGCUUGUGGUUUUUUCAUCGGGUGAUUGAGUCUGGUGGUAACUUGUUGCUGUUCGGGACUUUGAA
rnacentral:rRNA from 2 species